UACGUAGGGGGCAAGCGUUGUCCGGAAUUAUUGGGCGUAAAGAGCUUGUAGGCGGUUUGUCGCGUCGAAUGUGAAAACCCGGGGCUCAACUCCGGGCCUGCAUUCGAUACGGGCAGACUAGAGUUCGGCAGGGGAGACUGGAAUUCCUGGUGUAGCGGUGAAAUGCGCAGAUAUCAGGAGGAACACCGGUGGCGAAGGCGGGUCUCUGGGCCGAUACUGACGCUGAGGAGCGAAAGCGUGGGGAGCGAACAGG
rnacentral:rRNA from 1 species